ACGGACGGUCCAGAUUCAAUCAAGUAUAGACGGUCCAGAUUUAAUCGCGAUGGACGGUUCAGAUUUAAUCCAAAUUAAAUCGCGAUCGAACGACCCAAAUUAAAUCAAGAUGGACGGCUGUGAUUAAAAGGCAAAGGGUAUAAAUAAACCCCCCACACCUGACCACAAAAACCGUAGCCGCCAGCCCUCGCCGGAGAAGACGAACCAGAUGCCGGAG
rnacentral:lncRNA from 1 species